rnacentral:tRNA from 1 species
UCCUUGGUGGCUCAGAGGUUAAAGCGUCUGCCUGCAAUGUAGGAGAUCUGGGUUGGAUCCCUGGAUCGGGAA